AGUGGAAUAACUGGGUCAAAUGGUGAUUUCAUUCCAUGUUUUCUGAGGAAUCUCCAUACUGCUUUCCAGAGUGGUUGCACCAGUUUGCAGUCCCACAAGCAAU
rnacentral:pre_miRNA from 1 species